UCUUGGUGUGCUCUUGCUACGCCGAGACAAGAGUCAUAUCAGUGGAGAUUUUCUUUCCUGGGACACGGUUACGCUGAACUAUCUGAGCAAGCGAGGACAUUGCUUUUGUGCCAGUUGACUGGUAUGAUGACGUGAUGGUGUACUGGCCCAGGUGAACGUGUGAAACGGGCAGCUGCUAACGAGGAGAAGCAUGAGCCAAACUGGCCAAGAUAUGACGUAAAGGUCGUCAGAACUUGUGACAACUACAAAGACGCCAUCAGGCUAAUGAAUCAAUUUCAGACCGGCUGCAACGCCUCUGAGCUACAGUCUGAGGCAGAGCAGGAGGGAUAGCUGCCAGAGAAAUGAUUCAGGAAGCCAAUCCAUCGUUUUGGGGACUCUGAUGAGAGUGAAGAAGAGCCAGAAAAUUCGGCUGGUGUAUCAGUUGGAGCCUCAAGCCCAAACCAAUUACACUGGCAGAAAA
ensembl:lncRNA